rnacentral:rRNA from 1 species
CCGUGACCCUUAAACAAAACAGACCGCGAACGAGUCACCCGUGCCGCCGGGCUCCGGCCCGGCACGCUGCCCCCCCGAACCUCCCGCGGGGAAGGGGGGGCCGCGAAAAAGGACCCACGGCGCCUCGGGCGCCAAGGAACACCAAUACUACCUCCUGCCCCGCGGAGCGGUCGGCCCGCCUUCCGCUCCCCGGGCAGUGGCUACACCCUAAUCGACACGACUCUCGGCAACGGAUAUCUCGGCUCUCGCAUCGAUGAAGAACGUAGCAGAAUGCGAUACCUGGUGUGAAUUGCAGAAUCCCGCGAACCAUCGAGUUUUUGAACGCAAGUUGCGCCCGAAGCCUUCUGGCGGAGGGCACGUCUGCCUGGGCGUCACGCCAAAAGACACUCCCAACACCCCCCCGCGGGGCGAGGGACGUGGCGUCUGGCCCCCCGCGCCGCAGGGCGAGGUGGGCCGAAGCAGGGGCUGCCGGCGAACCGCGCCGGGCGCAGCAUGUGGUGAGCGACAUCAAGUUGUUCUCGGUGCAGCGUCCCGGCGCGCGGCCGGCCAUUCGGCCCUACGGACCCAUCGAGCGACCGAGCUCGUCCUCGGACC